AAGAAUGGGUCUUUUAAGCAUCUACCAUCUAAUACAAAAUCUGCUGUGGCCUCAGUUUAUCAAAUGAACAAAUAAUUAUAUUGAACGUAGAGAAAUAGAGAACAUAUAAAAGAGUUCAUCCUGGCUUACACUGAUAACUGGAACAUCAUUGUGUCAUGAAUUGGUCAAAUAUGUCAGACAAGGAUUUCUUGGACAGAGAGAUGUUGAUUAACAAG
rnacentral:misc_RNA from 1 species